AAUCAUGAUCUUCUCAUCAGCUCUGCUACUGCUGGUGGCAGCUGCAUCCUGUGGAGUUUUCUGUGUUGAGCUCAAUCAGCCUCCAUCUUUGGUUGUCAAUCCUCAAGAAUCAUUCUCCAUCUCCUGCAGGAUUUCAGUAUCAAGCUAUUGCAUUUACUGGAUCCGUCAACCCACUGGAAAAGCACUAGAAUGGCUCGAAUAUCUUUGUAGUGGUGGUGGCACUGACAUUAAAGACUCAGUGAAAAACAAGAUCAGUUUCACCCAGGACACGUCCAAAAACACAGUGUUUCUACAGGGAAAUAACUUUCACACUGAGGACACAGCUGUGUAUUACUGUGCAAGACAGUCACAGUGACUAAACAAGCCACAGCUCUGUACAAAAACCUGAACACAUGAAUCAGAGAUA